rnacentral:rRNA from 1 species
AUGCAGUCGACGCCCUCUUCGGAGGGAGUGGCAGACGGGUGAGUAACGCGUGGGAACCUACCUAGUGGUACGGAAUAACUCGGGGAAACCCGUGCUAAUACCGUAUGUGCCCGAAAGGGGAAAGAUUUAUCGCCAUUAGAUGGGCCCGCGUCGGAUUAGCUUGUUGGUGAGGUAAUGGCUCACCAAGGCGACGAUCCGUAGCUGGUCUGAGAGGAUGAUCAGCCACACUGGGACUGAGACACGGCCCAGACUCCUACGGGAGGCAGCAGUGGAGAAUAUUGGACAAUGGGCGCAAGCCUGAUCCAGCCAUGCCGCGUGAGUGACGAAGGCCUUAGGGUUGUAAAGCUCUUUUGGCGGGGACGAUAAUGACGGUACCCGCAGAAUAAGCCCCGGCUAACUUCGUGCCAGCAGCCGCGGUAAUACG